rnacentral:lncRNA from 1 species
GAACAGGAGUGGGAAAUGGGGCAUUAGGAAGGAGUGGAGGGAGGAGUACAUUAUAUACAUGUAGGAAAAUGCCAUGGUGAUUAUGCUAAUGCACUUUGAAAAAAGAGUAACCACUACUUAAAUUUAUAUAGUUCUGUGCUCUAGGAUUAUUCAGUUGAUGAAAAUGCUUUCUUGGGCCAGUAAGGUAUGGUGCCUCAGCAGGUGAAGGCACUUGGUGCCAAGCCCCUUAUGAUCCCCAGGACACAUGUGGUGGAAGGAGAGAGUGGGUACUGCCUACCCUGUUGUAAAUACUGUGGCGGGGGAGGGGGAGUGAUGAUAGGAUACAAGCACGCAUGUGUGCACCCAUUCAGUGAAUAAAUGUGACAGAUUUUUAAUAAAAGGAAAAAAAUGCUUCCUUCUAAUACUAUUUUGUCUGUUUUUAAAGGUUUUACUUCUUUCAUGCAGUUCUCAAGUUUGUUUUAGAAACUUCCUUUUUAUGCUUACUGAUUAUUUCUUUCUGGGUUUUCAUUCAGGAUUUUCCACAGUGGCUAACCCUAGAUUUUAUUCUUGCAAAUGUUUCCUGAAGGAAUUCAGUUAGCCUCAAAGGCUUCCUACUGCUGCCUAUUGUGUUCUCCUUUGCAGUUUCAUGGCCUCUGAGCAGUUUUCUAAAAAAUACAUUGUUUGCUUGUGUUGGAUGUUAGGCUAAGGUUUCAUAUUACCUGAUUUAAUGUAUCAACCAUUCUUUGAUGUGUAAAUCUCAUUUACUAAUUAAGAAACUGAAUCUAGAAAAUGCAGCUAGUGAUGAAGCUGAGCAUUGCUCUUGAGAGCAUGAUUCCAGAGUGCACUCAUGCCUGUAUCUGAAUUCUGCAUUCUCCCAUGUCCCUUUUGAGCCACUCUAAGGAGUGCCCCAAAAUGGACGCUUACAGAAGAACUUAGCAUAGAGCUGAACACCUUGAAAUUUGGUGGAAAUAUGGAACAAAUGUUGGAAGAGACAGGAUGUAAAACUGUCAACAUCUUAUGCCAAAUUUAGGUCAUUUUAGACUGUACAUAUUUGUGAAAUAUCUUCAGAUUAUUAUCAGUUCUUAUUGGUCAAAAUAGGCAUUGUGUUGGAAGUUAAACUGGAUAUAAAAAUUGAACCUGUGCCUAACAAAUGUAAGAUUUUAAUAUCAAUAUAGAUCUCUCACAAAACUUCAACAUUCUAGUGUUGUGCCAUUCAAAAGGGCAGUUUGGGAACUGAAGUAGCUCUGUAAUAGAGCGCGUAUGUGGCAUGCAUGAGGUCUGGGUUCUGUCUUCAAUGCUAAAAAAUCCACAUAAGCAAAUGACAGUUUUGAUAAAAAAUUUGGGCAUAUCAAAAUCCCCCAAAAGACUUGAUUUUCACCUUGUAUUUCUUAAACCUUGUUUAGGUAUUUCUUUAAACAUGGAACAAUGGAGCCAGCUGAAGGAACAGAUCUCUGACAUAGAUGACGCAGUAAGAAAGCUGUAAAGUCUGAGCCAUAUCAAGCCUGUACUGUCGUAGCUGUUUUACUCUGUCUUUUCACAUUGGCUUUUGUUUUCUAAAUGUUGUUUUCCACGCUGUUGUAUAUUUGGAUUGCAGAACAAUUUGUAAGACAAAUACUUUUUUUUAAUGUGCAUUAUUAAAAUGUUCUAAGUGAAGCUAAUUGUCAACUUUAUUAAAGAGGAUUGCUUUGUGCCCCUUACCUAGUGUAAAAUAAAGUCAGAUCAUUACAAUCUU